GGUGCGCAGGCGCGCUGUCGCCCGGCCGGUAGCUAAGGAGGCCCAGCUGUGAUCCCGAGGCUUUGUAGGCGCCGCAGCCCUGGCCCUCUAGAGGCCGACGGAGGAGUGCGGGGGAAGUUAGCUUGCGCCUGUCUCGUCAGCCGUGCACGAGAAAAAAAAGGACCUUCGAGAAGAACAAGGGAGGGCAAGAGUUACCGAGUACAGGGACAUCUAUGUGGCCGCUCUGCUUUCCCGCCGUCACCUGCUGUUGAACUCCGGCCGCAUCGCGGUGUCCGGAGCCGCCUGGCCUGGAGUAUGCGCUGAGCGUCACCUAGGCAACCACCCCUGCACCUGUGGAUCAGGGUCUCGCUCUGUUGCCAAGGGUAGAAUGCAGUGUCGGGAUCAUAGCUCACUACAGACUUGACAUCCUGGACUCAAGAGAUCCUCCUGUGUCAGCCUCCCGAGUAGCUGGGACCACUGGCGCGCGACAAAUAAUUUGAAAGUGGGAGGAGGGGAACAGAACCACAUCAAAUGGCAGAUAUCAUAGAAUGAGAACUGAAUAUACGCGUUUUGUGGGAAACGCGUUCUUUUCCCCUUUCUCUAAGAUUCGCUUUUAAUUCACUAGCCACUAACCAGUUACCUAUCUCAUUACAGAUAUAAAAAACAAAACGUA
rnacentral:lncRNA from 1 species